AAAAAAAAAAAAAAAAAUAAAUACUUUUUUACUCUCUUAGGUUAAGAAUAAAGUGAUGAAUUAAAAACAUUUCUUACACAUAAUAUAAUCCGUUAAAUAAGAAGCUUCAUCAAUGAUUGGACAAUGGUUACAAGCACUUCAAUUUUUGGUCAAUGGUUACAAGGACUUCAAUUUUUGGACAAUGGUUACAAGGACUUCAAUUAUUGGACAAUGGUCACAUAUUUUCCAAUAACACUAAACUGGACUCUCGUUGCUGAGAUGUUGAAUAUAUAUAUAUUUUGAUACUAAUCGCAACUAA